GAUGAACGCUGGCGGCGUGCCUAAUACAUGCAAGUCGAGCGAACGGACGAGAAGCUUGCUUCUCUGAUGUUAGCGGCGGACGGGUGAGUAACACGUGGAUAACCUACCUAUAAGACUGGGAUAACUUCGGGAAACCGGAGCUAAUAUCGGAUAAUAUUUUGAACCGCAUGAUUCAAAAGUGAAAGACGGUCUUGCUGUCACUUAUAGAUGGAUCCGCGCUGCAUUAGCUAGUUGGUAAGGUAACGGCUUACCAAGGCAACGAUGCAUAGCCGACCUGAGAGGGUGAUCGGCCACACUGGAACUGAGACACGGUCCAGACUCCUACGGGAGGCAGCAGUAGGGAAUCUUCCGCAAUGGGCGAAAGCCUGACGGAGCAACGCCGCGUGAGUGAUGAAGGUCUUCGGAUCGUAAAACUCUGUUAUUAGGGAAGAACAUAUGUGUAAGUAACUGUGCACAUCUUGACGGUACCUAAUCAGAAAGCCACGGCUAACUACGUG
rnacentral:rRNA from 1 species